UACGUAGGGAGCGAGCGUUGUCCGGAGUGACUGGGCGUAAAGAGCACGUAGGCGGUCUGAUAUGUCGGAUGUGAAACCCCUGAGCUUAACUCAGGGCCUGCAUCCGAAACUGUUAGACUUGAGUACAGGAGAGGAAAGCGGAAUUCCUAGUGUAGCGGUGAAAUGCGUAGAUAUUAGGAGGAACACCAGUGGCGAAGGCGGCUUUCUGGACUGGAUCUGACGCUGAGGUGCGAGAGCUAGGGGAGCGAACA
rnacentral:rRNA from 1 species